CUGCCGGCAACUGCGAGCGCGGCUUGGAGACCCAUGACGGUGCGGCGUUGGGGCGCAAGGACUGGGUCCCCCUCCCGGAUUCCCGACUGAGAAGGGACCUAGGGUGGCCGCUCACCUUGGCGAAUAAUAAUCCCUGAAGUCUAGCAAUUACAGAAAUGCUUCCAGAGGUCUUCUCUCAUUCAUCCCGACAAUGACCAGGGAAGGUCACCAGCACCUCUGGUGGGUGAGAGAGAUGUGGUUCCUGAUUUCAUGUCCCAGCCAGGGACCCAUAAGGACCACCGGAGAUGGGCACUGUUCGUCUGAGCUGACUUGUCCAAUGAUCCAGUUCAAUGCAGUGCUCUGCUGUGGCUCCUUCUGACUCACCCAGUGGGACCGACCUCCUUUAGCUCUGGGGUCCCCACUGUUCUAGCAUGUGCCUCACCAGCUUCCAGGCCCUGUGUGGAAUGCAGCCUCCGAGAACAGCACUUCUCACCACUCAAAACCCAUCCAAGCAUGCCCAGCCCCGAGAGGGGCUUCUAGGAAUGCAAACGAUGGGCUGCCGGGGGAGCAGUAAGCCGACUUAACAGCAUAGUGAGCACACGGGCAGGGGCUUGAAGGCUUGGAGGGUUGUUUUUAAGGAAGAGAAAUAGGUCCAAUCCUACGGGAGGCUGAUUAUUCACUUCCCUCCAACCAGAGCGAAUAGUUUAAAGGGUUUCAAAUGACGCUGAUGUGGCUGAAGCUGCCAGAAGCCCAUCCGAUCAUCCGUGGCAUCAUCACACACCUGUCUACACAGCAGAUCUUCACCCUUACUGAUCGGCAUUAAGAAGCAAGGUCUCUGCUUGCCAGCACGGGUGAAGGCAGUGAGGUCCUGCACUUUACGUAGGAAAAUGAUGAUUCUCUUCAAAAACAUUCCCAUUCCGACUGUCUUCUUGCCACCAGCAGCUCCCCACCCCCACAAGGCAGGCUGAAAUCAAUUCAACAGCUAUUCAUUCACUCACUUAACCAAUUUAGUAUUUGAUUUAAAAAAAAUUGUGCCAGCCAUUGUGUCAGUGCUGGGGUGGCAAAGAUGAUUAAUAGGGUCCCUACCCAUAGGAUCUCAGAGUCAUGCUAACAAAUAAUUAGGAUUCCGUGUGAUUAGGGCAAUGAUAGAAGGAAAUUCAAAAGGGAGGUCCCCAAGGAGGGCAGGGAUGGCUGCUUAUCUACCUCCCCAAGCUCCCCACCCCUCCUCCCCAACUUGCCAGCCAAGCCCAACAUCCAGUUCCUGAAAUCAUUCCUCUGAGUCCCUGCCCUGCUGUUCUCUCUGCUACUGAUGUCCUUUCCCACCCUCAGCUGACUCUAGCCCCCUACUUCUCCCCCAAGAUUCAGCUCCAAAGGAUAAGCCCCAAAUUCAGGUGGGUGCUUCAUCUGGAAGAAUUCCAUCAGGGAGGAAAACCCUGGGGAUCAUUUUUAAUGUUGCAUUUCCUGAGCAGGGGUGGGGGGGGUGGGUUCCUUCUCUCAUUCUAUAUGCCUUUCUGUGUCUGAAUUAUUUCGGCAUAGUGUAUUUGCAAAAGAGAUCCAGUUCAAGCCACACCUCCACCUUUAAUCCCCACCUCCUGCUACGUUUCCUUGUCAAGAAUCAAGCUCAAAAAUUCCUUACUGUCAUUCAAAAGCAACUCUGUGUUUCUAAAGAUGCAUGGAAAUGACUGUCACCAAUCUAGGAUCCUGGGUGCACCCCCCCUAGGGGGCAGAAUGCAAUUGGGGAAUGGUAAGACGCUAGGGCUUCAACAGUAAUAGCAAUGUUGCUAUUUCUUAAACUGGGUGGUGGAUACAUGGGUGUUUGUUUUAUGUCUAAAAUAUUGUAUGUAGGGGCUCCUGGGUGGCU